UAAGCCAGGUUGCGCCUGCGCAGCCCACUGAGGCGGGAACGUGGGUAACCCUUGGCUGUAGGGCGAGUGCCGUGUGACACUGCGGACGGAUGAGGGCGAAGGAGAUGCGGAGGAACUGGUGGUGACUGGCUGACGGAAAUGAUUGGCUGGUGGAAAAAGCCGUUCCAGAUCUCGCCUUCGUGUGGGCGGGGAACCAGCUGAAGAGGGAAUCAGCCCUUCGGUGGCGGGGCAGGGGGCGGAGCCGAGGGGAGGUCUCGCGGGAGACCAUUUUGGCGGGCGCGGGAGGCGGGCGCGGGCGGAGGGCGCAGGACCUGUGCUGGAGCGUUCUGGCCCGUGUCCCGCGUGGGGAGCUUGGCGGGCGUCGGGCUGGCCGGCAGUGGGUAGAGCUGCAGAGUGUGGGGCGGCGUCCGGCGUUGUUGCUCCCCGGCUCCGUCAGACUGGUGUCAGGGCCCCCACCCCGAAACUGAAUCGGAGCGACUGGGUGAUGCCCCUGACAGUUUUGAAAGCCUUCUCAGGCGAAUCUGAUGCUCGGCCAAGGUUGAAGCCCAGCCCGCGUGGUUCCCUCAGCGUACGGGGUAACCCCAGGUUGGCCAGUGCGGGGAGGGUCGUCAGCUUUGCGAGUCUAGGCUUUGUCCGAUCCCCCACUCACAUCUGGGGUUAGAUGCCAAGUGACCAGCGAGGGCGGACACUCCUCGUAGACGUCCACUCUGGAGAAGUGAGAUUGGGCGUUUGCUUGGGGAGCGGGACUGCAGGACUGGGGAGCAAUCCUCUGGUCCUGCAAGUUGAGUCCGUUGAGUGCUGUCUGUGCUCGAGGAACUUGGCUGGUUCUUAGGCACUCAGCUUACAGUUAUCCCGAUGCAGUUCUCUAAUUUAUCUGUUACUCAAGUAGCACUAAAUAUCUGGGUUUCUUUUACAGACCAUUUCUUAGGAUGGUGUAAGUCAAUGGCAGAGCUCAUCUAUUGAACUUUAUUCAUUUUCCGUUUUGGGGUUUUGGUAGAUGGCUUUUACCUUAUUCUUAAAUUCUGAUGGUAUCUUACGGGAGCCACAUAUAUGGAAUUAGAGAAUCUCUAAUUUCUUAUUAACAGUUUUCUUGAGAUGUAAUUUACAUACCAUGAAAUUAACCUGUUUUGAGUGUACAAUUCAAUGAUUUUUAACAUAUUUAAAGAGCUCUGCAACCAUCACCAUAAUGGAAUUAGGCGAUUUUUUUUUUUUCCUGAUAAUUGCCUUUACAAGUCUCAAAAGUUUGUCUAGGUGGGCAUUUUGGAAAUACAACCUAAGAGCCUCUGAAAAUCUACGCUCAAGUCGUGUUAUACCUGAGCAGGUGAAAUUAAGAGAAGAAUUGAAGCAAAUGUUCCUAGAAGUUGCAGAAUUCAAGGAGAUGAGGAGGAACCAGGAAGGAAGAUCGAAAAGACGAGUCCAUUGUGUUAGGAGGAAAACAGGAAGAAGAAAAGAGAUCUGAGUGAAGACACUGCAAGCAAAGAAGUGGGGGCUUACUAGGAACUGAAUUGACUGGUACCUUGAUCUUGGACUUCCCAGUCUCCAGAACUGUGAGAAAUAAAUGUUUGUUGUUUAAGUCAUCCAAUCUAUGGUAUUUUGUUAGCAGCCCUCACCUUGUUAGAUGAUAAAGUCAGGUUUUCUAAUAGAAUGUAUAGUAUGAUCUGUUAUCUUAAUAUAUCCAUAGGAGGACUGUCUAAUCACACUAUCAAGAGUUACUUCCUCAUUUCCCUUCCCUGAUCACGGUUACAUUAUUCUUUUCUAUCUGCAGCACUUAUGACUAUCUAAAAGUAUUUUAUUAAUUUUUAUACUUAUUUACUGUCCUUCUUGUCAUAGGAGGUAAGUUCUAUAAGGUUUUUGCCUCUGUCUCUUUUCUUUGUAUCCCCAGUGCAGGAGUAUAUAAUUUUUAGAUACAUUGUUUUACGUGAAAAACCCAAACAGACAGUAUUCCUGUAGUGGUUUUAAAAUGAGACCAUAAAUUCUUUGAUACUCUUUCCUUCAAAGCGUGGUGGCUAAUUCCCCUCCUUUUGAGUGUGGGCUGGAUUUAGUAACUAGCUUCUAAUGAGUAGAAUAUGGCAGCAGUGGAGGCAUGUCUGUAGGUCAUAAAAGGCAUCAUGACUUCCUCCUUGCUCCCUCUCUUGGAUCAUUCAUUCUGGUAAACCAGCUGCCCUAUCCUGAGGACAUAUCAAACAGUGCUUUGGAGAGGCCCUUGUGGCAAGAAACUGAGGCGUGCUCCCAAUAGCCAGGGAAGAACUGAAACAUCCUGCCAACAGUCAUGUGAAUGAGCUACCUUAGAAGCAUUUUUUUCCAGCCCCAGUCAUACCUUCGGAUGUUUGCAUCUCCACGUGACAACUUGACGGCAAUGUCACAGGAGACCCUGAACCAGAUCACUCAAGAAUAGACAAUGGAAUUAUUAUUUAUGCUUCUUCCCUGAAGGGCACAGAAAUACAAAAUCUUAGAAGUGGAUGCAAUAUUAAAGUUCAUAUACCAAGUUUUCAGUCAACAUUCUUUACAGCAACAGUGUUGUCCCCAUACCAGCCAUGGAGGAAGCUGUGAAAGAGAGGAUUCAGGAAAUUGGUGCAAAUGAGCCAUCUUGGAAGUCUAGAAAGGAAGAUCUUCAUAGGAAAUUCAGAUGCUCACUCAGCAAAUAGAGCAGCUGCCCAUCUUUAUGAAUAAAGUGUUUAUGAAUCAUCCCAGGCUGAAAAAAGUAUAGGGAACAAUAAAGACCCUUGAUAUAUCUGAA